UCGAAACAAAGUAGGUUUAUUGGAAAGUGAGUCUGAA
rnacentral:rRNA from 1 species